ACGCUCGACACCUACGGGAGGCAGCAGUGAGGGAUAUUGGUCAAUGGGGGGAACCCUGAACCAGCAACGCCGCGUGAGGGGUGACGGUCUUCGGAUUGUAAACCUCUGUCCUCUGUGAAGAUAAUGACGGUAGCAGAGGAGGAAGCUCCGGCUAACUACGUGCCGGCAGACGCGGUAAUCUGAGCGGGCUGGCAAGGC
rnacentral:rRNA from 1 species